UCAGACUAAAGAGCUUGAAUGAUUGUCUUUCAGCAUUCAGAAAAACCGGUCGGCCAGUUAAAUCACCAAAACGGUAAAAUUUUAAACUUCAUAAUUCCGCAGCUGGAGGUUGCCAGGAUAGUGCAGGGGUGCAGGGCGCAUGCUAGUACCGUACAUAGUGUACUCUCGUGUGUAUUGAAUAUUUUCGGAGAAUGCACGAAGAAGCACAGCAGUCCUCCCAACCCCUCUGCUGGGCGUCCGGAAUUUCUAUAAUUGCGGUACCAUCGCACUCGACAUAUUCACAGAAUUCCAAGCGGUGGUCAUGAAUUCAGAUGCCAACCGCUGCACAGUUCUUCGUUACAAUCCACAACGGAUUCUAGAUUAGCGGGAAUGUACAGCAGAAGCCAUUUUCUCAUCUCACAACGUGAAAUUCGGACGACCGCUUCUGUGCGUGUGUAGCCAAAGACCCAGCACAUUAGUAUACUGCAAAACUCCGAAGGCCGAUAAAGUUCUACGGUGUGUUCCUAAAAGCUUCAACCAGUCGUAGAAAAAAAUACUUUUCCGGGAGCUCCAACAUAAACAUCUUCUCGAUAAUCGAUACUAUUUACAUGCUGCCUCACUUGUCGUAACCGGAUCAUCCUCGUGGAAGUGGCCGUAUAAUGGUGACCUGAAGAAUAAAUAGAUCGAAUAAACUGGAAAAGGAGACAAAAUCAUACAACAAGAUGCAAGAUGUAGAAAUCGCAAGAUGGAAAUGUAACGAGACGCGAAAGGGGAGGCUGAUAUUCCGUUUUGCAUCAAGGGCUGGUAUUUGAUGUUGCUAUCGCAGACUUUGAAGUUUGGUCUUGGUGCGGCCGGUCGCAACGGUUUGACCGAUCGAUCGAAUAACAUCCGGCGCAGCCAUCAUGGGUCAAGCUGUCACUAUAUAUUAUAUAUUAUUGGAUCCUGGUGGUCCUUUUAUUGUCAGUUUACGUGAUUCGGUGCUUGCUGCGAUUGAUCUUCCAACUAAGGAACUGAAUGAUAUUCCCGAUAUUCCAGUUCGCCUGAUAUUGAUACCAUCAGAUCCUGUAUUGCCAUUAAUGAUGAGUCUCCCAACUGCUGGUAAUGCAGUAAUAGCCAAUCAUCAAUCAACAAAAUAACUCGAACUAUUCAAUGAAUAUGUAGA